UACGUAGGGGGCGAGCGUUGUCCGAAGUUACUGGGCGUAAAGAGCGCGUAGGCGGGCUUCUAAGUGAGAGGUGAAAGGUUCGGGCUCAACCCGGAGAGUGCCUUUCAUACUGGGAGCCUUGAGUGCGGGAGGAGGCAAGUGGAAUGGUCGGUGUAGCGGUGAAAUGCGUAGAUAUCCGGAGGAACCCCAGAGGCGAAGGCGGCGCCCUGGCUCGCAACUGACGCUCAGACACGACAGCAUGGGGAGCGAACGGG
rnacentral:rRNA from 1 species